rnacentral:rRNA from 1 species
GACGAACGCUGGCGGCGUGCCUAAUACAUGCAAGUAGAACGCUGAAGAGAGGAGCUUGCUCUUCUUGGAUGAGUUGCGAACGGGUGAGUAACGCGUAGGUAACCUGCCUGGUAGCGGGGGAUAACUAUUGGAAACGAUAGCUAAUACCGCAUAAAAUGGAUUAUCGCAUGAUAAUCCAUUGAAAGGUGCAAAUGCAUCACUACCAGAUGGACCUGCGUUGUAUUAGCUAGUUGGUGGGGUAACGGCUCACCAAGGCGACGAUACAUAGCCGACCUGAGAGGGUGAUCGGCCACACUGGGACUGAGACACGGCCCAGACUCCUACGGGAGGCACAGUAGGGAAUCUUCGGCAAUGGACGGAAGUCUGACCGAGCAACGCCGCGUGAGUGAAGAAGGUUUUCGGAUCGUAAAGCUCUGUUGUAAGAGAAGAACGAGUGUGGGAGUGGAAAGUUCACACUGUGACGGUAUCUUACCA